GUCCCUGUAGCUCAGUGGAUAGCGCGUUGGACUUCUAAUCCAAAGGCCGUGGAUUCGAAUCCCACCAGGAAUG
rnacentral:tRNA from 1 species